CAUGUCUUUUUGAUAAUAAUAUAAAGUCUGACCUGCCCAAUGAUUUAAUUUAAUGGCCGCAGUAUUUUGACUGUGCAAAGGUAGCAUAAUCAUUAGUUUUUUAAUUGAAAGCUGGAAUGAAGGGUUUGAUGAGAAAAUAACUGUCUUAAUAUUAAUUUUAUAGAAUUUUAUUUUUAAGUAAAAAAGCUUAAAUAUAUUAAAAAGACGAGAAGACCCUAUAGAAUUUUAUUUAAUUAAAUAAUUAAAAUAUAAAGAUUAAAUUAAUUUAAAUAUUUAAUUAUAUUUUAUUGGGGUGAUAUAAAAAUUAAAUGAACUUUUUAUUUAUAAAUACAUGAAUUAAUGAAUUUUUGAUCCUAUUAUUUGGAAUAUAAGAAUAAAUUACCUUAGGGAUAACAGCGUAAUUUUUUUUGAGAGUUCAAAUCGAAAAAAAAGAUUGCGACCUCGAUGUUGGAUUAAAAUUGAAUUUUAGUGCAGAAGCUUUAAUUUUAGGUCUGUUCGACCUUUAAAAUU
rnacentral:rRNA from 1 species